GGAAAAACCCAUACAAUAACCCUGGCAAUUAUGUGCCCCCCCCCCCAAGCACCAUUAAGGUGGUUACUGUUGCACAAGACAUCCUAAAGAAUAAAGCUGUUCCCAUCCAAGGGGCAAGGCAGCAAUGCAACAAGCUGCAACAGAGAAGGGCCUAGAAUAAGAUUCUUUAAGAGGAUCUUGAAUCAAGGGUUAAUUGUUUCCAAAUGACCACUGUGUGGGAGACUAUUAUGGGAUGGGACCCAUUCAGUAUUGGUUUAAAGCUGCUGGUUAGGUACCUUAAAAGAGGGCUAAGCAGCAGCAGCUGUUUUACAUUUAAAGCGACUGAAGUGAGUAGUGAAUUACUGUGGGAGACAAAUGAGCCCAUGACAUGAUUGGACCUGGGACGGCUCUCCCAAGUGGCCACUUGUUUCAUGAGAAGUCCCACCCCCAGGCUCUGUAUUUGAGUAUCAAAGGCACAAAUAGCACCAAUUAAUUCAGAUUAGCCCAAGAGGGAGAAGAGACAGGUUGGCUGCCUGCAAGAACCCCAAUUGAUGUCAUUUCUCCUGGGUUUGGGGUGCUUAUCUGUGCUACCAGGCUCUCAUCUUAUUAUUCCAGAUUGUUUCUUGAGGAAGUCGUGGGGAGCAUCAGUGUUAAGUCAGAAGCCAGCAAGGCCAGCAGAGUUGUGUUGGUGUAAACUACUUGCUAGCGAUAAAAGCAAGAAAGGAGGCAUCAUGCAGUGGACCUUGUGGUUUCCAUCUAGGAGUUAAGGAAGUGUUGUUGAAAAGCCACUGGAUGGUCAUUUAUCUCUGCUUUUACCUACUUCCAGAAGAGCAGCACUUCAGAUCCAGGAAAAUGGGCAUAAUCCUCAGAGAGAUCUGCAUUAAAUAAAACUGCAUGCAAGAUUCUGUCUUCCACAAUCCAACCAUCUGAGAUGUAAGCAAUGCCAGCACCCACAAACAGCAAGUUGAAAAUCCUCUGACACCUGGAGAUCCCCAAGACACUUUGGCAAGAAGAAGGGCAUGUUCCUGGGUCAAGUCAAGCUGAAAGUUAUCGGACCCAUGAUGGCACUUCUAAUUGGCUUUGGAUCAGACUCUCUAACUGGGGUACCCUGGAUUACUGCCUGCCUGAGGACUUUUUCUGAGCACAGAAUACUCAUGUCCACAGUCUUAACCAUGUCUUUCUUUUGCAAGCUGGCAGAAAAUACUGCUUUGUGUUAUGAUAGUCAAGAAGGAGUCAGAAUACAAAAUGGAGACCUUGGAAUUCCAUUGACCAUUCUAGAACUGGUGUCGCACAAAGGAAAGUAGAUAGGAUCAUUGAACUUAAACAUGGAUGCCAUGAAAAUUGGUUAAUAUUAUUUUUAG